AAUUCUCAACCUCACCAGUUUUGUAACGAGACAGGUGAAGGCUUGGAUGUGGGGGUUUUGCAGGCUGCCUCAGUGCUGGUCUGCUCCCCUGAAAUGCAUUAGCGAGCUUAUAUUGAGCUUCCAUCUAUUGGUGUGAUAAUUAUCUACGCUGUGGACUGGACUCAUGCUUGCUUCUAACCGUCCACAAGGACAAUUUACUUGACCA
rnacentral:misc_RNA from 1 species